UGUCUGGUGUUGUCGUCGUCGUUGGUUGAGAAACAGAAAAUCUGAACAAAACUCUGAAGCACAAACGACUGAAGCUGAUACAACCUACCAAGCGCUGGACCUUACAAAAAUGAAUACAGAGGAUAAUUAUCAAUCAUUGAGAAACACAAAACCUCAAUCAAACGCUGAACCACAACGAACUGAACUUGAUACAACUUACCAAGCGCUUGAUCAUUGAAAAAUGAACACAGAAGACAAUUAUCAAUCGUUGAGAAACAGAGGACCUCAAUCAAACCCUGAACCAAAGACAACUGAAGUUGAUACAACUUAUCAAGAGCUUGAUCUUUCAAAAAUGAAUACAGAAGAUAAUUAUCAAUCAUUGAGAGUGAAUGCUGCAAAUAAUGAGGCUGUAAAUGACGACGAGUCUACUUAUACUGAGUUGAGCAAAACCAGAGAUGAGGAGAACAAGUACCAAUCUUUAACUUGAACUUGGAAUAUUAUUAU
rnacentral:lncRNA from 1 species